rnacentral:rRNA from 1 species
UACGUAGGGGGCUAGCGUUGUCCGGAUUUAUUGGGCGUAAAGAGCGUGUAGGCGGCCAGGUAGGUCUGGUGUGAAAACUCGAGGCUUAACCUCGAGAUGUCAUCGGAAACCAUUUGGCUAGAGUCCGGAAGAGGAGAGUGGAAUUCCGUGGUGUAGCGGUGAAAUGCGCAGAUAUCAGGAAGAACACCCGUGGCGAAGGCGGCUCUCUGGUACGUGACUGACGCUGAGACGCGAAAGCGUGGGGAGCGAACAGG